GAUGAACGCUGGCGGCAGGCUUAACACAUGCAAGUCGAGCGGGGUGAUGGUGCUUGCACUAUCACUUAGCGGCGGACGGGUGAGUAAUGCUUAGGAAUCUGCCUAUUAGUGGGGGACAACAUCUCGAAAGGGAUGCUAAUACCGCAUACGUCCUACGGGAGAAAGCAGGGGAUCACUUGUGACCUUGCGCUAAUAGAUGAGCCUAAGUCGGAUUAGCUAGUUGGUGGGGUAAAGGCCUACCAAGGCGACGAUCUGUAGCGGGUCUGAGAGGAUGAUCCGCCACACUGGGACUGAGACACGGCCCAGACUCCUACGGGAGGCAGCAGUGGGGAAUAUUGGACAAUGGGGGGAACCCUGAUCCAGCCAUGCCGCGUGUGUGAAGAAGGCCUUAUGGUUGUAAAGCACUUUAAGCGAGGAGGAGGCUCUUUUGGUUAAUACCCAAGAUGAGUGGACGUUACUCGCAGAAUAAGCACCGGCUAACUCUGUGCCAGCCGCCGCGGUAAUAC
rnacentral:rRNA from 1 species